rnacentral:rRNA from 1 species
UACAGGGGGUGCAAGCGUUGUUCGGAAUUACUGGGCGUAAAGCGUGCGCAGGCGGUUGCCUAAGCCAGGCGUGAAAUCCCCGGGCUUAACCUGGGAAUUGCGCUUGGGACUGGGCAGCUAGAGUACGGCAGAGGGGGGUGGAAUUCCACGUGUAGCAGUGAAAUGCGUAGAGAUGUGGAGGAACACCGAUGGCGAAGGCAGCCCCUGGGUCGACACUGACGCUCAUGCACGAAAGCGUGGGGAGCAAACAGGAUUAGAUACCCUGGUAGU